CACGUAGUUAGCCGGGGCUUCUUACUCAGGUACCGUCAUUUUCUUCCCUGCUGAUAGAGCUUUACAUCACGAAUGACUUCUUCACUCACGCGGCGUUGCUGCAUCAGGGUUUCCCCCACUUGUGCAAUAUUCCCCACUGCUGCCUCCCGUAGGAGUUUGGGCCGUGUCUCAGUCCCAAUGUGGCCGUUCACCCUCUCAGGCCGGCUACUGAUCGUCGCCUUGGUGGGCUUCUACCCCGCCAACCAGCUAAUCAGACGCGGAUCCAUCUUACACCACCGGAGUUUUCACACUAAGCCAUGCGGCUCCGUGCGCUUAUGCGGUAUUAGCACCUUAUUUCUAAGUUGUUACUCCCCCAGUGUAAGGCUAGGUUACUCCACGCGUUACUCCACCCGUCCGCCACGUAAGUUACGAACUCACUAGGUUUCAUCGUAACUCCGUUCGACUUGCAUGUGUUAGCACGCGCCAGCGUUCAUCCUGACGCCGAGGACUACGAAACUCU
rnacentral:rRNA from 1 species